UUCCUGCACUCCAGAUCCGCUACAUGGUGAAAGUCGACUUCGUGGACAAGCGCUCCGUAGUUUCUGCGCUCAAGGUCUUAACUACCUGGUGGAACUUGACUUCCAGGACAACCGCUCCAUGGUUCCUGCGCUCCAAGUCCGCUACCUGGUGAAUUUCGACUCUCGGAGGACAAGGAAGACGAGGAGAACAAGGUGGACCAGGAGAACGAGGAUUUCUGCACAUAUGCGAGGUAUAACCCUGGGUGAUUCCGGGUGAUCGAGGUGGACGAGGACUACAAGGAUUUCUGCACAAUAUAACCCGAGGUGGUUAGCAAUGGUCGUUG